UAGCGUUAGCGCCCCGACACCCCCACCGAGUCCAACGCUUCUCUCCUUCUCUCUCUCUGCAGCUCCUCUCACUUCAGCGGUGCGGAGCUCUGCUUCCCCGUCCCUCUCCGUCAAUGCUAGGGGGCCUAAACCCUAGCCCUGUUGCUUUCUUUACAGGUAUGGGAGCAUUUUGCUGUUGUCCAUGUUCAGAGGAUUUCGAAGAAUAUGCCCAUCCAAGCAAUCCCAUGUAUAGGCACUGCAUAUGCUUAAGAUACUUCUUUCAUCAGCUGUUCAGUGGGUAUAGCGCAAUGUUUCAAAGAUUGGAGGUGCAGACAGUUGCUUCCCCUGUUCAAGCAGUAACUCCAUUGAUAUCAACAGGCAUUGGAACCGCUUCAGCUGACAGUUCAUUGUCUGAGAGCUACCACCUUGUCCCUCAACCUCCAUCUUAUGAUACAGAUCCUAGAUUAUCUCAUUCCCAACGUGAUGGGUUGGUCUUGAGGAGGGACAAGUCUAUGAGCCACUUACAGGAAGAAUCACAGACCCGUCGAAGAAAUGGAAGUAGCUCUGCAGUGGAACAUUUAGGUUCCAUUAAAAAAUGGAACAGUGUAGAAACUGAGGAAGAAAAGCCUAGCCAUUCUGAAUCAGAGAAAAAUCUAUAUGCAAAAGCUUAUGGUACUGGUUAUGUGAUAGCGACUUCAGAGGAUGAAGAUGUUUGCCCUACAUGUCUUGAUGGUUGUCUGAGAUGUCCUAAUAUGAAUUCUAAUGGGAAAGCCCUAGUAUACUCCUGAAAAUCCAAAAAUUGUGACAAAUUGCUCUCAUCAUUUUCAUCUGAGCUGUAUAUAUGAAUGGAUGGAAAGAAGUGAUAGUUGUCCAAUUUGUGGCAAGGUGAUGGAAUUCUGCGAGAGUCCAUGAAAUAAAUUUAUUUAUUCUCUACAUUUUGGUAGAGAAAUAGCAGAGCAUGUAGUGUUGGAGGGAGUGUUUGUAAAUAAAAGUUCUGCAGCCCCAGCACAGAGCUAUCUAUCAAGGGACAGUUCUCAAAUAUACUGACAUGUCCAUAUGUAAAAAUUCUCUAGCACAUUGAUUAACAACUGUUUUUUGAUGCUACUGUUUUACCUUGUAUUACAUACCAUAAGCUGAAAGUUUUGAUAGCUAUAGCACUGUCUCUGAUAAUAAAAGCAUUGUUGCAAAA